AGUCCAGGACACAACCUCCUCCAGUGGCCAGUUUGUGCGCCCUGGGACUUACUACAGCUGGGCAUGGCAGACUCUGCACAGGUGCCAACACUGGUAUACCUGGUCACAGGUGGCUGCGGCUUCCUGGGGGAACAUAUUGUUCGGAUGCUGCUGGAACGGGAGCCCAGGCUCCGGGAGCUGCGUGUCUUUGACCUGCACCUGAGUUCUUGGCUGGAGGAGCUGAAAGCAGGUGACUGGAGUGGGGCAGUAGCAGGAGGUAGGGAGGCCCCAUCCCUUCCCAGACUGGGAUACCUCAGCUUAUGGAAAAGAUGAUUCCUGUUUGUUCUCCACCAGACAGAGGGGCCGGGGCCUGUGCAGGUGACUGCCAUCCAGGGGGAUGUGACUCAGGCCCAUGAGGUGGCAGCAGCCAUGUCUGGAUCACAUGUGGUCAUCCAUACAGCUGGGUUGGUGGAUGUGUUUGGGAAGGCCAGUCCAAAGACCAUCCACAAAGUCAACGUGCAGGGCACACAGAAUGUGAUUGAUGCUUGUGUGCAGACUGGCACUCAGUACCUGGUCUACACGAGCAGCAUGGAAGUGGUGGGGCCUAACAUCAAGGGCCACCCCUUCUACAGGUGAGCUCAGCCCCACUUAAUCUUAGAGCCCAUUUCCCUCCAGCACUCAGUCUUCUUUCUCCCCUCUCCAGGGGCAAUGAAGAUACCCCAUAUGAGGCAGUCCACAGCCAUCCCUACCCAUGCAGUAAAGCCCUUGCUGAGCAGCUGGUCCUCGAGGCCAAUGGAAGGAAGGUCAAUGGAGGGCUACCCCUGGUGACAUGUGCCCUUCGACCCACGGGCAUUUAUGGUGAAGGUCAUCAGGUCAUGAGAGACUUCUACUACCAGGGACUGCGCUUUGGAGGUCGUCUAUUUCGGGCCGUCCCAGCUUCUGUGGAGCACGGUCGGGUCUAUGUUGGCAAUGUUGCUUGGAUGCACAUACUGGUGGCCCGGGAGCUGGAGCAGCGGGCAGCACUCAUGGGUGGCCAGGUGUAUUUCUGCUAUGAUAAGUCACCUUAUAAAAGCUACGAGGACUUCAACAUGGAGUUUCUGAGUCCCUGUGGUCUUCGACUGAUAGGCGCCCACCCACUGCUGCCCUACUGGCUGCUAGUGCUGCUGGCUACCCUCAAUGCCCUGCUGCAGUGGCUGCUCCGCCCACUGGUGCUGUACACACCCCUGCUGAAUCCCUACACGCUGGCUAUGGCCAACACCACCUUUACUGUCAGUACCAACAAGGCACAGCGGCAUUUUGGCUACAAGCCCCUCUUCUCAUGGGAAGAGAGCAGGACCCGCACCAUUCAGUGGGUGCAGGCGAUGGAGGGUUCAGCUCGGUGAUGGCAGGGCCAGGAACUGGAGACCACUGUGGCACAUACUCCAGGUCCUGAGCCCCCAAAUCUGGAUGAAGAGAAAUGGCUGCCUUUUGAAGAUGAAGACUCUGCUCUACACAUCAUGACUCCGUGAUGUGGACCCUGCCACAUCUUAACUACACAGAUCCUGAGACUGGUUCAUAUUCCAGUCUCCUAGUUCUAGGAUAGGGUUUGGGGAAAGGCCUAUCUUUGGUGCCAACUCAGGCCUGCCAGGUAGUUGGCAAAACUGAUUUCUUGAAUGGUCUCACUACCUCUUCCUGUUUCCAGUUUCUCAAGCAGGGAGGAACAGAGACUCCAGAGAUCUUACGCUGGUCUGCUUACUUCAGCUACCAUUUUCAGACCUGGCUCCUGCCACAUCUGGCUCUCCUUAAGGGGUUAUAGUUUCACCAUUUUUUAAGUGUAUCUCUUUUAGACAUUUAUCUUUUAAUUUGCUUUAAAGAAAUCUGAAGAAAUCAAUGAUUUCCCAUGUCUUGCCUCUCCUAACAAAUUCACCUAUGACAUUGUUAGCUUCCUCCCCUAGGAUGCCAACCUGUAUCUGGCCAAGCCUAGAAUAAAAUCCUUUUCCAAG